rnacentral:rRNA from 1 species
AGAGUUUGAUCCUGGCUCAGGAUGAACGCUGGCGGUCUGCUUAACACAUGCAAGUCGAACGGUGUCUUCGGACACAGUGGCGGACGGGUGAGUAACGCGUGAGAAUCUGCCUUCAGGUCUGGGACAACAGAGGGAAACCGCUGCUAAUACCGGAUGUGCCGAGAGGUGAAAGCUUUAGUGCCUGAAGAUGAGCUCGCGUCUGAUUAGCUAGUUGGAGGGGUAACGGCCCACCAAGGCGACGAUCAGUAGCUGGUCUGAGAGGAUGAUCAGCCACACUGGGACUGAGACACGGCCCAGACUCCUACGGGAGGCUGCAGUCGAGAAUCAUUCUAAAUGGACGAAAGUCUGAAGAUGCGACGACGCGUGGGGGAUGAAGGCCUUUUAGGUUGUAAACCCUAGUCUCGAGUGAAGAAAUGCGUCGGAGAUAACAUCAACGGCGCUUGACGUUAGCUCGAAAGAAGCACCGGCUAACUACGUGCCAGCCGCCGCGGUAAUUC